GCUCUAGUAGCUUAGUUCUAAAAGCACCGGUCUUGUAAUCCGGAGAUCGAAGGUUAAAAUCCUCCCUAGCGCC
rnacentral:tRNA from 1 species